UAUACGGAUUUAUUAGAAUCCACCUACAUACCUAGCAACAUAUAAU
rfam:Glossina brevipalpis unplaced genomic scaffold Scaffold146, whole genome shotgun sequence.